rnacentral:rRNA from 1 species
UACGGGGGGGGCAAGCGUUGUUCGGAAUUACUGGGCGUAAAGGGCUCGUAGGCGGCCAACUAAGUCGGAUGUGAAAUCCCCAGGCUUAACCUGGGAAUUGCAUCCGAUACUGGAUGGCUUGAAUCCGGGAGAGGGAUGCGGAAUUCCAGGUGUAGCGGUGAAAUGCGUAGAUAUCUGGAGGAACACCGGUGGCGAAGGCGGCAUCCUGGACCGGCAUUGACGCUGAGGAGCGAAAGCCAGGGGAGCAAAACGGG